rnacentral:rRNA from 1 species
CUACGGGCGGCAGCAGUGGGGAAUAUUGCACAAUGGAGGAAACUCUGAUGCAGCAACGCCGCGUGGAGGAUGACACUUUUCGGAGCGUAAACUCCUUUUAUAUAGGAAGAAGAUGACGGUACUAUAUGAAUAAGCGCCGGCUAACUCCGUGCCAGCAGCCGCGGUAAUACGGAGGGCGCAAGCGUUACUCGGAAUCACUGGGCGUAAAGCGCGUGUAGGCGGAUUAAAAAGUCAGAAGUGAAAUCCUAUAGCUUAACUAUAGAACUGCUUCUGAAACUCUUAAUCUAGAAUGUGGGAGAGGUAGAUGGAAUUUCUGGUGUAGGGGUAAAAUCCGUAGAGAUCAGAAGGAAUACCGAUUGCGAAGGCGAUCUACUAGAACAUUAUUGACGCUGAGACGCGAAAGCGUGGGGAGCAAACAGGAUUAGAUACCCGAGUAGUC